UGAGAAGCACAAACUACCCUGAAGGAUCGGAGCAAAAACAGCUCGUCCCUGGCUGGGAGACGGACGAAGCCUUGACGAAGACAGUGGUAUUUUACCUGAGAUCCCCAGUACAGAUAAAAGUUCACCGGGAACAUUCUGAAGGAGUAAUGAUACCUGCCUUACAGAGUUGUCAUGAAGAUGAAACAAGAUAAUGUAUAGCAGGUGCCUAGAACAGUGACUGCUACCUAAGAAGCAUCAGUGAGCGUGAAUCGUCCUGACAGUACACUUAAGUUUUCCAGAUGUUUCUACCUGUCAUUCUACCAAAGCAACAAGACCAUAUUUAAAAUGGAAAAUGUGAUAACAAUGAGAGGUGGCAAUUUUUCCCCAGACGGACUCAGAAGUAGCUUUAACAGAAAUACAUGUAUUAAACUGUAAGGGGAUUAAGUGAUUCCAGUUAUAAAAUAAAGAAGUCACGUGGAUAUAAUAUACAGCAUGGAGAAUGUAGUCAAUAAUAUUGCAAUAAUUUUGAAUG